UACCAGCACCCCGAGUGGUCUGGACGAUUAUUGGGCCUAAAGCAUCCGUAGCCGGCCUUACAAGUCCUCCGUUAAAUCCAGCUGCUUAACAGAUGGGCUGCGGAGGAUACUAUAAGACUAGGAGGCAGGAGAGGCAAGCGGUACUCAGUGGGUAGGGGUAAAAUCCGUUGAUCCAUUGAAGACCACCAGUGGCGAAGGCGGCUUGCCAGAAUGCGCUCGACGGUGAGGGAUGAAAGCUGGGGGAGCAAACCGG
rnacentral:rRNA from 1 species